UGGAGCUGGGAAGCAGAGACACCGGCUUAGGCUCCGAGGAUGCUGAGCAGCCUUUAGAACUGGUGGCUCUUCUCCAAGGUGCUGGGAAUGUGCUGUUUCCCACAGAUGGAGAGCUUUCCACUUAGGAAGGACCCACAAACAACUGGWACCCAGCUGUCCUGGGCCUGAACUCAUGUCUAUGCUCCACCUCGGGUUGAUGUUCGACCAUGUCUGGGCCCAGCGGGCUGCAAGGGAGUCCUGAUCACUAUCUGACUCAGCCAGGAGGUGCUGCCUUGGUUGGCUUACCCACMUCCUCUCCUGGUGGUCACUUCUGACCCCAGCACGUGACCCAAGCUGCUCCAAGAAUUGCAAGAAGCUGUUUCAGGAGGCUCUGGAACCUGAGAAGCAUCCUAUCUUCCACUGGGAUGCAUGGUGUGAGGGUAGUGUGCUUGCAGCCUCCAAGGCCAUUUUGUGA